rnacentral:misc_RNA from 1 species
AACACNNNAACUCCCCUUUCUUUUUUGAAAUGGGAGCUGGACUUGAGUGAUCCCAACGCUUUUCUCACCGAAAAGUGGCGGGUUACUUGAAAUGCAGGUGCAGCUGGACUUUUCUCUGAGCUAAAAGCAUAUCUAUUUAGUCUGCCUAAAAAACAGAUUAUUACCUUUGCUGCAGCUAACAUAAAGGAGAUUAGUUCUUGUGCUGACUGAUGCAGGAUUCACAGAGANAGNNNNGGCUGGCUUUGUAA